GAAACCCGUCUGCCACAAGACCUCUCUAUCCACGCUGUCCUCUCUACCCACUACUGGCAAAGGCAUUCAGGUGGCCUGGGUUACAGCAGACAUAAGCCACAGGGGUUGCUGCGGAGACGGUUCCUGUGCCUCAGGAAGCUGGGAGAAGAGACGUUUCCUGUUUUGAAGAAGGUUUAAGAACGAUUUUCCUCCAAUCAGGCAGCAGAUGCCUGGGCAGGAAAUGGAGAACGCAGCUGCCAGCCCCACUGCGGAUGUCUGAAGCACCCGUCUGCCAUCCUUCAGCUCCCAGCUCACAAUUUGAUUCUCUGUGAUGUUACUUCCUCCAGUGCUUUAUGUAACAGAUGGUGUCUGAGAGGGUGUGAAUGGCUGGAGAAAAACAACACUAACUGCAGUAGGUAAAUCCAUAGAAGUGUGUUUUCAGCUACUUCCCUGAUAGCUGCUGGUAGAGCUCUACUGACAUUUUGCAAAUAUAGGCACCAAGUGCUUUGAGUGCAGGAUCAUCACACUCCCACAUCCUUGCGCAAGCUAAGUUACCUUUAAACAAAGCUUCGCCUGGGUAAGACAUGGGCCAAAACUGAGCAAGGACUUGAGAAUUAGGCAUCUGGGCAGCUGAGAAGGAAAGAAAAUCUCCAUGGCAGUGAGGAAUGAGUGGACUCAACUGUGACAUUGUAUAAGCUCUCAGAUUUUGUACCAUUGCCUAGAAAUACUCUGUUUUUACAGAAAUAGUAAGCAGUAUGAAUCUCAGAAACUCAAUGCAUCAGAAGAACUUUGAUGGCAUCAUGAACCUUAAUAGAAGCACAUAAACCUCCUUCCUGAGA